rnacentral:misc_RNA from 1 species
AAAAAAAAUAAAAUAAAAAAAAAAUAAAAAGGAAACUAAAUGAAAUUGAAAUUAACAAAAAUUUCUCAAGAUUUUACAAUCCCCUAUAUGUUAUCCGCUUCAAUUGCUUCACCUUCUUAAAAUCAGGCAUACGAUAAUUUCUUUCCACCUCCCAUGCAAGCUGCGACAUGCCGUUGAAUGACGACUUGGCAACUUUUACAUCCGUCACUUCUCUUGGGAAAGGUAUUCGAACAUCGUAAACACCUCUCUCAGGACAGUGGAGACGAAUGUCGAAACCAAGCCUAUCAACCCAUAUCAUCUUUGCUUCUGAUACCUGAUCAAUACCAAUUAAAUUUCAUACCCAUUUUCUAGUUUCAUUGUUUUAAUACAUGGAAUGAAAAAAGAUUCAAACAAUGAAAAAUUAAAUGCAAUUAGGAACACUAAUUAAAGUAGGCCAAAAUUGAUCCUAUGGCAUUAGAUGCCCUAGGAUUUUGUGUCACUCAAAAUCAUUCAUCUUUACUUGGAAUUUAUGGAGUUCAGGUCAGGUCAGUUAAAAAUACUUUGCUUGACCCAAUUUGAACUUGAAAUCUGUUGCACAUUACUUGAACCAAACUUGAAGUUUGGUGUGAUUAUGGGGGAGACAUGUUUGAUGCAUGGUUCCUCUGACUAUGGGGAUAUUACAUGUUUCACGCCUUAAAAGUCAAGUGUUGCUUAUGUAAAGUUGGUGGAUCCUCCUUCUAGAGAGGCAAAGUUGAGAUGCACUUUCCCUACCUUCCCUUUGGGGUGCGGUUGGAGUGCGGUUGGGGUCCUCUAAACAAGGAAAGGCCAAACUUAAAAAUAUAAAAAGUGAAGUGGAAGCAGCAAGGUAGAUAUUGAGAAUGACCAGAAAACAGGGAAGCCACCACCUUGCAGGAGGUGGCCGCAAGUAAUUGCCUUAUUUUAGAUAAAAAAAUUAGGACAGAGAUGGGUAGAGGUACCCAACCCCAAAGUGAAGAAAGGGCGAAAAUCCAUGAAACAACAACAGACCUGUAACCACUCUUCAACUUUCAAUCCAGUGCCAACGUGCCAGUAAAUAAAGCAAGGACCUAGAGACCAUCUUACCUAAAAAAU